rnacentral:lncRNA from 1 species
AAACCGUAUACCCACCUGCUGUUUUGUGCUUGAAAUAAAACAAACUGCACUCUUUUCUAAGGUACAGGAAGCACCCAAGGCACCUCCUCCUCCUCCCCCAGCGCCACCUAAGAUGGAAAGCAAAGCAGAGCCGGCGGUGAAGAAAGAGGACACAUCUGCAACAAAAGCAACGGCAGCAGCUGCAACAAAAGCAGAGGGAUCUGCCAAGAGCAAAACUAAAGACAGUGCAUUAAGCAAACUCUUCCGUUCAAAGGUCGACGUGUCUAAGAGCAGCACUCUCGAGGCCGCCGCCAAACCUGAAGAACCUCCAGCACCAAAACCAGAGGAGAAGAAACUAGAGAAAAAAUCCACUUUUGGAAGCAGGUUCAAACCCAAGGUAAAGGCCAGAUGAGUUGGAGUGCAGGUGUGUGAGUGUAUCAGAUGUGUUAGUGCAUGCAGUAACAGAUUUGUGUGGUUUGAGGUACUGCUCGGCCAGGUGAGCAGCAGGAUCCAGGCAGCGGCGUCCAGCGCUGCCUCCAGCAUCUCCCUCAUGUCUGCUGCAGCGGUAAACGCCGCUAUACCAGACCCGUAUACAUUAACCAGCUGCUCUGACACGCGUGUCUGUGUGUGUCUGUUCUCUGACACUACGAGUGAAAAUCGAGUCAAAACACAGUGGCAC